GAUAAAUAAGAAAAGAAAAUGGUUACCAAACACAUCAACCAUCUCCGGUCACUAACAAUCAUCUCUCCUUUACCAAAACCGUAGCUCGUUUCUCAAAUUCAGUCAGUUUCAACCAAACCCAUGUCCGAAUUUAUGGACAAACUCACUCAAAUUUCUUCCAUAGACGGAAAACUCAAAGGGAAAUCCGAGCUGGUGGAGGCCUAUAGCUUUGCAAAGACUGUCGAUGAAAUUCUUAAGCUGUUUAAAGAUAGAUAAUCCGAUUUUGUGGAGAAGGGUCUUGAAUUGUCUUCCUUGAAGAUUGGUCUGAUAAUUGAUUGUGAUGGUGAGUGCCCUAGAAAAUAAAUUAAAUAAAUAAAUAAUCUCUUUUAUAUGCUAAAUUGAGCUUUGAACCCCUGUCAUGGCAUUGCAAUUCAUAGGUUCUGUUGACAAUUCAGCGAUUCUGAAUAGUGUUAUUACAUAUGAAGGGUUUUAGUGCUGAGGAUUUAUGUUGUGCUAUGUUAAGAACUUUUUCUAAUGUUAGAAACAAAGUGUUUAGAGAUUAAGGAGUUAACCUUGGAGAAGAAUAGUAGAGAAUUGGGAAAACCAAAUUUUAAUAUAAGAAUGUGAUACCCUUUUGUAUUAACGCAUUGAAAAUACAUGAGAUUGAAUUGGGACGUAAUUCAGUUGAAGUUGCCAAUAGUACGAGGCUUUUGAGGGGUGGUUUAAUCUUUAAUGUUGGAUUGGAAGUUCAUGAAAAUGCAUUGGGCAGAUUGAAUUGUCUCAAAAAGAGCUUUGAAUUGAAGAACUACGGUCUUAACUCCAAUUUACACAAUUGUACUCUAAACUCGAGGAAACAAACACGGAUGGAAAGAGAUGAUGGGAGAUUGCUAGUAAAUUUUUGUCAGGAAAUAUAUAAUUUUUUCCAUGGUGGCGUUAGAGGGAUAUAUGAUUAUAUUAAUACAAAACAAGCCAACGAACGAGUUUGAAAGUGUACUUUAUUUAUUGAAAAGGUUUGUAGCUUUGCUUGAUAAGCUUCCAGAAGAGCAACAGUCAAAAGGUAGGCCUUCUCCUGGAAUAUCUGGAGCUUGAGAGAGAAUCGGUUGUGCAGAUGUUUGCAGUAACAAAGGACUUCGUAGAGGUUUCAUUUGGUUCCUAUCAUGAAGAUUCAUUUGAAGCGCGCAUGCUACAAUAUUUUUGAAACAAUAUAGUGCAAAAGAAAGUUAUGUCCUUUGAGCUAUUUUACUCUCCAGACAAGUGGUCGAACCUGAUGACACUUCUCAGUAAGUUCUAUCCUUGAAAAGCUCUGAUAUUUGGGGUAAUGUUUCUUUAAAAUUUCUGUCAAAAUCAUUUCGUUUGAAUUCAAAUAAUGAUAAGUUUAUGUGUGACUUUUAAUCUGUUUCUUCAAAAUUAUCUGUAUUCAUAGUGAAAAUGAGUUUGUACUUUGUAGUUUGCUAUUAGCUGCAUAAGUUUUAUGUGAGAGAAAUUUAUCCUUGCAUCAUGUCAUGUGAUGUCAAACCUACUCUAUGCUCGGGGGUUUGGUUUCACCAAUGUAACAUGUAUUGGAAUAAGGAUUUUUUUUUUCAUUCCCUUUGCCUCGAGCUUAAUGAGAUUUUAGAAUGCAUUUUGCUGUGAAAAAUUUUUGCAGUUCAAAAAUGACCGUGGGUUGAAUGAAUUCAGUAUAUAGCGGUCACUUACCUAGGAUUAAAUAUCCUACAAGUUUCUUCUACACUCGAACGUCAUAGAGUCAAACUUGUUAUCUAAUGAGAUUAGUUGAGACAUACAUGAAUUAACCUAGCACUACAAGAAAAAUGACCUAUGUUGACAGUUAAAAUCUGUCAUAUUCAAAAUUCUUCACAGUUUUUGCAGUCAUUAUAUCAUCUGUCAACGAAAGACUAUCUAUGACAUUUUGAAAAAACUGUCAAAAUAAGUGUUUUCAUGACAGAUAAUAAAUGUUAUUAUUUUAUAUUUUAUGACCAUAACUAUUUGUCACUAGUUCACACAUAUUAGAAUAAUUAUCUGUCAUUAUUUGCAUAUUGACGAUAGUUAUAAAAUGUCAAUAAUUCAUGUAUUUUGAUUUUUUUCCUAUCAAGAAUAUGUCAAUCAUGAUGAUUAUUAAAUGUCAAAAAACACGUAGCAUGACUAUCAAGUAUACCUUAACCUUGUCAGUUAUUUUUAAAAAAUCAAAUGUUUAUAGACUCCUCUAUUACUACUUUUUUUUUUGUCCUAUUUUUCUUGACAUUUUUUUUUUUUUUUUGUCGCCUUGUCAUUACAUAGACAAAUUCAAUAACAAAGUACUAUACAACACUUUAGUAUAUACACGUUAUCAUAUAAUUUGCAAUCUUUGUACAAUUGUUAGUAAAAGGGUACCAAGAUUCAUGCUUGAAGUUGGUGCUGUAAUAUGAUAUCCCCAAAAUCAUAAAUAAAGUUUUUAUGUUAUUUCCCUCAAAAUGGAACUUGAUUGCUUUUGUUGUGCAUGGAAGUUGACUUAUUCUAGUGAAUGUAAGUGAUUUGAUUUGAAGUAGAACAUCAUCUCCAUCGUGUGUAUUUGCUUAUUUUUAUGUUAUUUCCCUCCUAAUUGUGUGUGUUACAUGCUUAUUUUAAGUUUCGUUUGAGAGUUCUGAAUGUGAUUCAUAGGGCUUUAUGCUUGUCUUACGAAGACUAACAACUCAAGAAUAUACCUCUAACAAAGAAAAAAGUUUAGAACAAUCUAACUAUAUAAUUAACAGUAAUAUUUAUUUGAAAGUAUUCUUACAACUCUAGUUUGUUAAAGUUAUUGGAUUUGAUUAGUUUAUGUGUGUUGAAGUGUUAUGACUAUUCUGUAGCUAUAGUCGUCUUAUUUUUUUAAUUUUAUUUUAUGUGUGCUUAAAUGAUCAUUUGUUCCUAAACGUUUUUUUUUAUAAGGAUUUGGUUAAUUUAUUAGCUUUCUCUUGAUUAACGUGUUCUCCCCCUAUUGUGGUUUCUACUGUAGCUCAAAACUCUCAAUGCAAAGUUUUGGAUUUUCUUUGACACUUGUUAUAUGAUAUUGUACUUCAAAACUCUCUAUUGUAGUUUAAAAGUGAUUUUGACAAGAAAGUGAGUUUGGACAAAACCAUUUUGUCAGGUUCUAUGUUUCUUUGGGUGUCGGUAUCAAAAUCUUUUUGUAAUUAUUUUUCAUGGCUUAUUUUGUUUGUUUGGAGUCUCUUUCUUUGGUGGGAUUCAUUUAAUUUUCUGGGCUUGACUUUUUGGAUGCUCUUUUAUUCUUUAACUUUGCUUGAUUGUAUUCUUCCCUCCAUAUAAAAGAAAUACAAAUUAGAAGAGGCUUUAAAAUAUACUAGAUUGUUCAUAUGAUCAUGUUUUUGGCUUAGGUACAUCUUGUUGGAAAUUGCCCUUACGGUUUUUUUGGAUAAUUUGUGUUUUCCACAUAAUCUGAAUGAUCAUUUUUCAAUCCUUAAAGAAGUCCAUUGGAGCAGUGAAACCAUAUUGGAGCAACUAAUUGAUUUAUAACAAAAUUUUGGUUUCAUUGUACUUAUUUUAAGCUUGUUGAUACCAAAAGAUGUUUAGGUUUAUUCUAUCGUUGUAAACCCUUUUACCAAGUGUAUGAUAACUAUUAUGUACAAAUAUUACAAAGUGUAUCCAUAUUGGAGCAACAAGAUGUAUAAACUUUUACCAACAGUUGUAUAAAUAUUACAAAGUGUAUGAUAAUGUAUAUAUAUUAAAGGGUUGAAUGUUUGUUUCUA